UACGGAGGGUGCUAGCGUUGUUCGGAAUUACUGGGCGUAAAGCGCGCGUAGGCGGCUUUUUAAGUCAGGGGUGAAAUCCCGGGGCUCAACCUCGGAACUGCCCUUGAAACUGGAAAGCUAGAAUCUUGGAGAGGUCAGUGGAAUUCCGAGUGUAGAGGUGAAAUUCGUAGAUAUUCGGAAGAACACCAGUGGCGAAGGCGACUGACUGGACAAGUAUUGACGCUGAGGUGCGAAAGCGUGGGGAGCAAACAGG
rnacentral:rRNA from 1 species